rnacentral:rRNA from 1 species
GGAAAAGAAACUAACUAGGAUUCCCUUAGUAACGGCGAGUGAACCGGGAUGAGCUCAAAUUUAAAAUCUGGCGUCUUUCAGGCGUCCGAGUUGUAAUCUAUAGAGGCGUUUUCCGCGCCGGACCGCGUCCAAGUCUCUUGGAAUAGAGUAUCAAAGAGGGUGACAAUCCCGUACUUGACGCGACAACCGGUGCUCUGUGAUACGUUCUCAAUGAGUCGAGUUGUUUGGGAAUGCAGCUCUAAAUGGGUGGUAAAUUCCAUCUAAGGCUAAAUAUUGGCGAGAGACCGAUAGCGAACAAGUACCGUGAGGGAAAGAUGAAAAGCACUUUGGAAAGAGAGUUAAACAGCACGUGAAAUUGUUAAAAGGGAAACGAUUGAAGUCAGUCGUGUGAAAGGUAUUCAGCCGUCUCUGGCGGUGUAUUUGCCUUUCACGGGUCAACAUCAGUUUGAUCCGGUAGAAAAAGGCGGGAGGAAGGUGGCACCCUCGGGUGUGUUAUAGCCUCCUGUCAUAUGUGCCGGACCAGACUGAGGAACGCAGCUUGCCGCAAGGCCGGGGUUCGCCCACGUACAAGCUU